AUCUAAGUACCCCGAGGAAAAGAAAUCAACCGAGAUUCCCCCAGUAGCGGCGAGCGAACGGGGAACAGCCCAGAGCCUGAAUCAGCUUGUGUGUCAGUGGAACGGUCUGGAAAGGCCGGCGAUACAGGGUGACAGCCCCGUACACGAAGGCACACAGGCUGUGAGCUCGAUGAGUAGGGCGGGACACGUGAUAUCCUGUCUGAAGAUGGGGGGACCAUCCUCCAAGGCUAAAUACUCCUGACUGACCGAUAGUGAACCAGUACCGUGAGGGAAAGGCGAAAAGAACCCCGGCGAGGGGAGUGAAACAGAACCUGAAACCGUGUACGUACAAGCAGUGGGAGCCUUCGUAAGAGGGUGACUGCGUACCUUUUGUAUAAUGGGUCAGCGACUUAUAUUCUGUAGCAAGGUUAACCGUAUAGGGGAGC
rnacentral:rRNA from 2 species